UACGUAGGGGUGCAAGCGUUUGUCCGGAAUUAUUGGGCGUAAAGAGCUCGUAGGCGGUCUGUCGCGUCGGCUGUGAAAACCCGGAGCUCAACUCCGGGCCUGCAGUCGAUACGGGCAAACUGGAGUACUGCAGGGGAGACUGGAAUUCCUGGUGUAGCGGUGAAAUGCGCAGAUAUCAGGAGGAACACCGGUGGCGAAGGCGGGUCUCUGGGCAGUAACUGACGCUGGAGGAGCGAAAGCGUGGGGGAGCGAACAGGA
rnacentral:rRNA from 1 species